AUUGAACGCUGGCGGCAUGCUUUACGCAUGCAAGUCGAACGGUAACAGGCCUUCGGGUGCUGACGAGUGGCGAACGGGUGAGUAAUGCAUCGGAACGUGCCCAAUCGUGGGGGAUAACGUAGCGAAAGUUACGCUAAUACCGCAUAAGCCCUGAGGGGGAAAGUGGGGGACCGCAAGGCCUCACGCGAAUGGAGCGGCCGAUGUCAGAUUAGCUAGUUGGUGGGGUAAAGGCCCACCAAGGCGACGAUCUGUAGCGGGUCUGAGAGGAUGAUCCGCCACACUGGGACUGAGACACGGCCCAGACUCCUACGGGAGGCAGCAGUGGGGAAUUUUGGACAAUGGGCGCAAGCCUGAUCCAGCCAUGCCGCGUGCGGGACGAAGGCCUUC
rnacentral:rRNA from 1 species